GGCCGCCUGGCGUAAUGGCAACGCGUCUGACUACGACAUGGUAAUCAGGAGAUUGCAGGUUCGACCCCUGCGGUGGUCA
rfam:Schizophyllum commune H4-8 unplaced genomic scaffold SCHCOscaffold_17, whole genome shotgun sequence.